UGGUUACGAAGGAAAAACCGUUCGUUUCAGAAGAACAAGAGCUUCUCUCUAACAUGCGAUUGUAGGGUUUCGUUCUUCAUUGACUGGUUCGUUGUUGCGCGAGAGAAGUGGCGUGGAUUGAAGAAGGGUUUCAAGGGGUCUGUGAAGAAUGAAGGAAUAAUACUUUAAAGUUAAGCUUCACUUUGGUGGUAAGUUUGUCCAUGGGGGAAACAAACUUACCUACAAGGGGAAUGACUGUGUAUGGAAAUGUAUGGCUGAUAGGUGGUCUUAUUUUGAGAUAACUGGAAUUCUAAAUGAGAAAGGAUAUAAAGAUGUUGAGACUCUUUGGUACAAGGUUGUAGGCAAGGAUCUAAAUCAUGGUUUGAAACAACUGGUUGAUGAUGCUAGUGCUUGGGAGAUGGUUGACAUUGCUAGAUGCGAAGGACGUGUUCAUCUCUAUGUUUUGCACUCUGUUUCAGUCCUUCAGGUUGUCCAUUUUAUUGAACCUGGGGUAGAGAAUGGAUCUUAGGGGAUUGAAGGAAAUGGAGGGAAUGAUCAAAAUGAUGAAAAAGAGACCCCUGUGGCUGAAGGAAAUGCUGGUGAUGGUGAUAAAAAUCUUUUGGCAGAAGAGAACAAUAUUCAUGAAGAAACUCCUCUAGCUAAAGAGAAUAUUCCUGAUGUAAAUGUUGGUUCUACAAUAGGUGGUUCUAGUGCAACAAAAGAUGCUGAUGUUACAAUAACCUUCAGUUAUCCGAAAGAAGAAACCAAUGACAAAGAAGGGUUUGCAGGGGGUAAAUGCACCUGUUGAAAAUGUGAUUGUUCAUGCAAAGGGUUCAACAUCUACACAAAACUAAGGUGUCAAGGCAAGGAAGAGAACUUCAGGUACACAGUAGCAAAGAAAGUCAUUCAAAAGGCCACAGGGAAGACCGAAAGGUUCAACAUCUACAGACAAAGAAGGUGUACUACCUCCCGAACCUGGACCUAAAAUUAAUGAUGAUGUACAACAUGAAGUCCCCCUAUAACAUCAGAACAUGGAAAUGGAUGAUGACUCAUACAACUCAGAGAAGUUACAGGCAGAAUCAAAAGAUGAGGACGAGUCCAAAAUAAGACAGGAACACCCAGUGUGGGUUAUGCGUAACGACCUGAAAGAUUACAAGUGCGUAACGAGAACUUUGUUUCCAAGUAGACAUUAGUUCAAGGAGGCUAUCAUGACAUAUGUUGUUCAGUCAGGUAGAAAUUUGAAGUUUAACAAAAAUGACAAGGUAAGGGUAAGAGUUGAGUGUAAGGAUGGAUGUCCAUGGUCAAUUUAUUGUGCAAAGUUGGAUGUGGAAGACAUGCAGCAAAUAAGGACAAUCAAUGAUGAACCUGUAGCAGGGACUAUAGAGUUAGAAUGAUGAAAUCAAAGUGGCUAUGCAAAAGAUUAGUGAAUGGUAUUAGAGAAAACCCAAACAUCAAACUGAUAUAAGAGAAAGGGUUCAUAAGGAGUUUAACUAUGGAGUGUCAAAGGCAACUGCACCAACGGCAAGGGCCCAUGCAAAGACUCUUGUACAUGGUUCAUUUUUAGAACAGUACAAGAGAUUAAAUGACUAUACAUAUGAGCUGAUGAAGUAUAAUGAAGGGUCAACUGUUGUUUUAACAACACAUCCUUAUGAAGGUAAUCCAGAGGAGUUAGAGAACUCUAACAGUGAUGUCAGUCCUGCAUUUCAUAGGCUUUACAUUUGUGUGAAGGCCUUCAUAGGUUUGGACAGCUGUUUUCUGAAAGGGCCAUUUGGGGGAGAGAUUUUAGCUGCAGUUGGAAGGGACCCAAAUGACCAGAUGUUGCCAAUAGCUUAUGCUGUGGUCGAGGGUGAGAAUACCAACUCCUGGAAAUGGGUUAUGGAACUUCUAAUCAAAAACUUGGGAGGUACAGAAAAAUUUCUAAAGUAUACCAUCAUAUCAGACCAAUAGAAGGUUAGUUAGAUUAGCCCCUUAUCUUUUUGUGUUGGUUCAUAUUAGUCCUUUAUCUAUUUAUGUUGGUUCAUAUUAGUCCUUUAUCUUUUUAUGUUGGUUUAGAUUGAUCCCUUAUCUUUUUAAGAUGGUUCAUACUGGUGCUUUAUCUAUUUAUGAUGCUUCAUAUUAAUUCCUGAGUUAUAUGACUAAUAACACAUGUGAUAUUUCAAUGUUAUGAUUUAUUGAAUGUUAUUGAAGAUCUACUUCUACGCAUCUCUCAAAGAUUUUGUCUGAGGCACAUGUAUAGAACUUCAAAAAGAAGUUUCCUGGUCUUAAGCUUAAGCUGUUAAUGUGGAAGGCUGCCAAAGCAGCAUACACUCGUGCUUAUGAGGAUGCAAUGAAGAAGAUGAGAAAGGAAAACGAAGAAGCCUUCGAAUAUUUAUGGAAAACUUUCCCUGCACGUUAUUGGAGUAAGUCAUGGUUCACUUUGGACUCCAAGUGUGACGUUUUACUUAAUAAUAUGUGAAUCAUUUAAUAGCGUCAUCCUAGAAGCUAGAGAAAAGCUUAUUGUGUCCAUGUUAGAGGAUAUACACAUCUAUCUAAUGGAGAGGUGGGACACUAACUCAAAAAAGGUUGUUGCAUGGGAAGGUAGUGUACUACCAAACAUAAAAAAAAAAAAAGAAAAAAAAGAUUGAGGUUGGAAUCCAUGAAUACAAAUAAUUGGCUUCCUAGGUACUGUUUUGGUUUUUUAGGUUGAUUGCAUGCAUGGUUAUAUAUACAUGUAUUGCCUAAAUGCAAUGCAUGGAUUUUGUAGGAUGGCUAGGGACCAUUUGUUUGAUGAAGUUAGACACAUCACCCAACUUGGAGACAAAUUUAUAGUGAACUUGCAAACUCAAGAAUGCUCAUGCAUGAAAGGGAUGCUUAAAGGAAUACCAUGUGUGCAUGUUAUAUGUUGCAUGAAUAUGAGGAACCACCUAAACCCUAAGGAUUACAUCCUAGACUUUUACAGGAAAGAAGCAUAUGAAGCAUGCUACUAGUACAUUAUCCAUCCGACUGAUGGGGAACAUUUGGGACAUUACUGAAUUCCCUGAUGUGCAACCACCUCCCCCGAAGAAGAUGCUUGGUCAACCUAAAAAUCAGGAAGGAAGGAAGCUGGAGAGACAUCUAGUAGCAGUGCAAAUAGGAUGAGCAGGAAAGGAGUAAAAGGUCGUUGUAGGAGGUGUGGAGAAACUGGCCACAAUAGAUCCACUUGUCCAUUGGGGCCCUUACAGUUAAAGAAAUCCAAACCACUGUAGAUGAACAAAGCCAACAAACAACCACCGAUGCACACACUGAAACCCAACAUCAACCAACCCACACAAACCCAACCACCUACAUCAACCCAAACCCAACCCCAAACCCAUCAAGCUGAAAUUCAAGAGGGUAGACCGUUUAGGAAAAAGCUGGAAACAAGGGGAAAAGCUUAGCCACUGCCAAAUGGAGUUCAAAACCUGGAUGUUUAUGUUUUUUGUUUAAUAUCGUUAGCUACCUUUGAAAAUAUUUAUUUUUUGUAUGACUGGUAUUGGUAGCAGUGUCUGGUUUAUUUUCCUGGACAAAUGUAUGGUUUAUUUUGCGGGACAAAUGUAUGUUUUAUUUUGCGAGACAAAUGUAUGGUUUCAUUGAGUAAAAGUUAUUUCUAUUUGAUCAA